GGUUGGGUCCUCCGCAAUGAGCACUUGUGAACCUGGUCAGGUCCGGAAGGAAGCAGCCAUAAGCAAGAUCGCUUUUGUGCCGGAGGGGUGCCUAGCCCGAGU
rnacentral:SRP_RNA from 1 species